UUCUAUGGUACCUCCACUUUUUUUUAGUGGGUACGGUACCCACCCAAAUCAUAACCAUUAAAUUUUUAAUGUUUUAAUCUUGACCGUUAAUUUAACUUUUGUGUGUACCAAUUACCGGUUUAGCAGGUCAGGUAUAAAAACAAAAAACAAAAAAAAAUCAAAUGUGUUCCUCUCUUGUGUUCAAAUUUUCUCAGAUUCGUUCUUGUGUUCAUCGAUCUCCUUUCAAUAUCCCGUCGAUUUACCCAUCAUUGAAGGUUUUUCAAAAAGAUCAAAAUCGUUUUGACUAUUAUUAAAGGCUGGGAGAAAAAUUGCAGAGAUGGCUGCAAAUAAAGCUGCCACUACUGCUAUAGUUGCUUUUGUCAAAAUUGUUUAUUAGAUACAGAUGGAUGAGAAAUUUUGCAAUACAAAUAGCUAAGAAAUUGGCUUUGUUUGAUAUUGUUAAUUUUACAAAUUUUAGUAUUUUAAAGAUGUCAACCCAGUGAGCAAAAGCUCAUUGGAUUUUGAGAGAGGGAGAAAGAGAUUAUGUUUAAGGUUUUGUCAAAGACAUUGUAACUUGUAUAUACACCAUUUACAUCAACGGAAGAUGAAUUUUGAAAGAUUAAAAUCUUUCUACCUUU